ensembl:lncRNA
AAAUUUUAGCAAGAGCAACCGUGUGCAUCCUGGAAAUCCUGAUAUUUACCAGGCAUAAAAAUAAGUUAAUAAUACAAAAAAAAAAAGCCAUAUUUUGGCCAGCUCUUUCAGGAAGAGAAAGGAGUUCUGUGCAGCCCAAAAUGUUUGUCCACAUCCCUGAAGCUGGUUGGGAAUGGAGGGAAAGGAUGAAGGCUCGGAUCAUUUCCUUGUGCGCUCCUAUGGGCUCGCUUAGCUUCCUGUUAUUGUCUUCGCUCUGCUCCCACCCACUCUGCCCAACAGAUCUGCAGGGAUGCAGGACCCAGCUUGGCAUCGGGCUCCAAAAAAGCUGGCUGGCUACCUUCCCUCAAGAUCAUUCACCCAGUGACAGUGAGCUGGCAGCGACUUCCCAGAUUGACUUGUAGCCUGACCUGAAGCUUUCUUCCUGCCCAAGGUGAAAGAAGAAGGAAGAGCAUCUAUGUUUUAUUGAGAAUAGGUUUCUUUGGCAAGGAUGGUUCUUACUUUAGGGAAGAAGGGAAUAAAGGACCUACUGCCUUCUCCUCCCAGGAUGCACAGAGGCGGAGGAAUGGUGUCACAUGGCCACCAGCUGCCAUCACGGUGGAAGGAGAGAGUCCACCCUGAAGCAGCCCAGAUCCUGG